rnacentral:rRNA from 1 species
GGUUAAGCGACUAAGCGUACACGGUGGAUGCCCUGGCAGUCAGAGGCGAUGAAGGACGUGCUAAUCUGCGAUAAGCGUCGGUAAGGUGAUAUGAACCGUUAUAACCGGCGAUUUCCGAAUGGGGAAACCCAGUGUGAUUCGUCACACUAUCAUUAACUGAAUCCAUAGGUUAAUGAGGCGAACCGGGGGAACUGAAACAUCUAAGUACCCCGAGGAAAAGAAAUCAACCGAGAUUCCCCCAGUAGCGGCGAGCGAACGGGGAGGAGCCCAGAGCCUGAAUCAGUGUGUGUGUUAGUGGAAGCGUCUGGAAAGGCGCGCGAUACAGGGUGACAGCCCCGUACACAAAAAUGCACAUGCUGUGAGCUCGAUGAGUAGGGCGGGACACGUGGUAUCCUGUCUGAAUAUGGGGGGACCAUCCUCCAAGGCUAAAUACUCCUGACUGACCGAUAGUGAACCAGUACCGUGAGGGAAAGGCGAAAAGAACCCCGGCGAGGGGAGUGAAAAAGAACCUGAAACCGUGUACGUACAAGCAGUGGGAGCACGCUUAGGCGUGUGACUGCGUACCUUUUGUAUAAUGGGUCAGCGACUUAUAUUCUGUAGCAAGGUUAACCGAAUAGGGGAGCCGAAGGGAAACCGAGUCUUAACUGGGCGUUAAGUUGCAGGGUAUAGACCCGAAACCCGGUGAUCUAGCCAUGGGCAGGUUGAAGGUUGGGUAACACUAACUGGAGGACCGAACCGACUAAUGUUGAAAAAUUAGCGGAUGACUUGUGGCUGGGGGUGAAAGGCCAAUCAAACCGGGAGAUAGCUGGUUCUCCCCGAAAGCUAUUUAGGUAGCGCCUCGUGAAUUCAUCUCCGGGGGUAGAGCACUGUUUCGGCAAGGGGGUCAUCCCGACUUACCAACCCGAUGCAAACUGCGAAUACCGGAGAAUGUUAUCACGGGAGACACACGGCGGGUGCUAACGUCCGUCGUGAAGAGGGAAACAACCCAGACCGCCAGCUAAGGUCCCAAAGUCAUGGUUAAGUGGGAAACGAUGUGGGAAGGCCCAGACAGCCAGGAUGUUGGCUUAGAAGCAGCCAUCAUUUAAAGAAAGCGUAAUAGCUCACUGGUCGAGUCGGCCUGCGCGGAAGAUGUAACGGGGCUAAACCAUGCACCGAAGCUGCGGCAGCGACGCUGAUGCGUUGUUGGGUAGGGGAGCGUUCUGUAAGCCUGUGAAGGUGUGCUGUGAGGCAUGCUGGAGGUAUCAGAAGUGCGAAUGCUGACAUAAGUAACGAUAAAGCGGGUGAAAAGCCCGCUCGCCGGAAGACCAAGGGUUCCUGUCCAACGUUAAUCGGGGCAGGGUGAGUCGACCCCUAAGGCGAGGCCGAAAGGCGUAGUCGAUGGGAAACAGGUUAAUAUUCCUGUACUUGGUGUUACUGCGAAGGGGGGACGGAGAAGGCUAUGUUGGCCGGGCGACGGUUGUCCCGGUUUAAGCGUGUAGGCUGGUUUUCCAGGCAAAUCCGGAAAACUAAGGCUGAGGCGUGAUGACGAGGCACUACGGUGCUGAAGCAACAAAUGCCCUGCUUCCAGGAAAAGCCUCUAAGCAUCAGGUAACAUCAAAUCGUACCCCAAACCGACACAGGUGGUCAGGUAGAGAAUACCAAGGCGCUUGAGAGAACUCGGGUGAAGGAACUAGGCAAAAUGGUGCCGUAACUUCGGGAGAAGGCACGCUGAUAUGUAGGUGAAGUCCCUCGCGGAUGGAGCUGAAAUCAGUCGAAGAUACCAGCUGGCUGCAACUGUUUAUUAAAAACACAGCACUGUGCAAACACGAAAGUGGACGUAUACGGUGUGACGCCUGCCCGGUGCCGGAAGGUUAAUUGAUGGGGUCAGCGCAAGCGAAGCUCUUGAUCGAAGCCCCGGUAAACGGCGGCCGUAACUAUAACGGUCCUAAGGUAGCGAAAUUCCUUGUCGGGUAAGUUCCGACCUGCACGAAUGGCGUAAUGAUGGCCAGGCUGUCUCCACCCGAGACUCAGUGAAAUUGAACUCGCUGUGAAGAUGCAGUGUACCCGCGGCAAGACGGAAAGACCCCGUGAACCUUUACUAUAGCUUGACACUGAACAUUGAGCCUUGAUGUGUAGGAUAGGUGGGAGGCUUUGAAGUGUGGACGCCAGUCUGCAUGGAGCCGACCUUGAAAUACCACCCUUUAAUGUUUGAUGUUCUAACGUUGACCCGUAAUCCGGGUUGCGGACAGUGUCUGGUGGGUAGUUUGACUGGGGCGGUCUCCUCCUAAAGAGUAACGGAGGAGCACGAAGGUUGGCUAAUCCUGGUCGGACAUCAGGAGGUUAGUGCAAUGGCAUAAGCCAGCUUGACUGCGAGCGUGACGGCGCGAGCAGGUGCGAAAGCAGGUCAUAGUGAUCCGGUGGUUCUGAAUGGAAGGGCCAUCGCUCAACGGAUAAAAGGUACUCCGGGGAUAACAGGCUGAUACCGCCCAAGAGUUCAUAUCGACGGCGGUGUUUGGCACCUCGAUGUCGGCUCAUCACAUCCUGGGGCUGAAGUAGGUCCCAAGGGUAUGGCUGUUCGCCAUUUAAAGUGGUACGCGAGCUGGGUUUAGAACGUCGUGAGACAGUUCGGUCCCUAUCUGCCGUGGGCGCUGGAGAACUGAGGGGGGCUGCUCCUAGUACGAGAGGACCGGAGUGGACGCAUCACUGGUGUUCGGGUUGUCAUGCCAAUGGCACUGCCCGGUAGCUAAAUGCGGAAGAGAUAAGUGCUGAAAGCAUCUAAGCACGAAACUUGCCCCGAGAUGAGUUCUCCCUGACUCCUUGAGAGUCCUGAAGGAACGUUGAAGACGACGACGUUGAUAGGCCGGAUGUGUAAGCGCAGCGAUGCGUUGAGCUAACCGGUACUAAUGAACCGUGAGGCUUAACCUU